rnacentral:rRNA from 1 species
CCUACGGGGGGCUGCAGUGGGGAAUAUUGCACAAUGGGCGCAAGCCUGAUGCAGCCAUGCCGCGUGUGUGAAGAAGGCCUUCGGGUUGUAAAGCACUUUCAGCGGGGAGGAAGGCGGUAAGGUUAAUAACCUCAUCGAUUGACGUUACCCGCAGAAGAAGCACCGGCUAACUCCGUGCCAGCAGCCGCGGUAAUACGGAGGGUGCAAGCGUUAAUCGGAAUUACUGGGCGUAAAGCGCACGCAGGCGGUCUGUCAAGUCGGAUGUGAAAUCCCCGGGCUCAACCUGGGAACUGCAUUCGAAACUGGCAGGCUAGAGUCUUGUAGAGGGGGGUAGAAUUCCAGGUGUAGCGGUGAAAUGCGUAGAGAUCUGGAGGAAUACCGGUGGCGAAGGCGGCCCCCUGGACAAAGACUGACGCUCAGGUGCGAAAGCGUGGGGAGCAAACAGGAUUAGAUACCCCGGUAGUC